GCCCGUGUGGUGAAAUUGGUAUACACGUAUGCCUUAGGAGCAUAUGCCGCAAGGUGUGCUGGUUCAAGUCCAGUCGCGGGCACCA
rnacentral:tRNA from 1 species